GCCAACCCCCGCCGGGACGGGGAGAGGUCCACAGACUAAGUGGAAGUGGGCGGUCCGCCGCUUAAGAUAUAGUCGGGGCCCACGGGAGACCGUGGGCGGCCAACCGUUCCGUAGGUGAACCUGCGGAAGGAUCAUU
rnacentral:rRNA from 1 species